rnacentral:tRNA from 1 species
GUCUGCAGCUAUGGUUAGCAGUUCCUUAUGCAGGAAAAGUUAGGUUCGACUCCUAGCAGACA